ACUCACAGGUAUAUUCCAGAAACAUAAAGUGUUGGAAUGAUCCUUUACCAGAUUGCAUUACAUCAUAAUAAGUAACAAAUCUCACCCAAUCAGCGUGUCGCAUGAGAUGACACAGGGGGCACCUGCUGUGUCCAAAAUUAGUAGAGAAAUACCCAGCAGCCCGAUCCUUCAUUUAGAGGGCGAGCAGAAAGAAAGAGGCUGUUAAUUUCACCUCGUCUGAACAAGGAUGUACACACGUAAUCCUAAUUUUUGGGUUGUGUCACCUGAAUGUCAUCUGUCCCAUCUUCUAUAUUCAAACAUGCCAACUGACCAGGAUGAAGAUGAAGAAGCAGCAGAGGGUUUUUCUUCAGUGUGCCAUCACACAGGCUACCCUCAUGAUGUUAUCAGUCAGGCUGUUGACGCUCGCUGGUCUUCAUGUGAAUCACCCACAUUCUCAGGAAUCUCCAGCUCUCUGUGCAUGAUUGAACAGGAACAAAGCCUCUCCUCAUUGGAAAAUCAAAGAACCAUAGUUGAAGAUGAUCAAGAGGAGAUGCAGCAUUUUGUUGAAGGUUGUUGUUGGAAUCAUGUAAAUACAGAAAGUCACCAGUGUGUCGAUCUUUAUGAGCAAAGGGACCCAGAAGGAAUGAACCCCUUCUGGGGAGGAUCUCCACUGAUUUAUUAUGGAAGUAAGCUCAUUUGAACACAUACAUGUUCAUUAAUAAAUAUAUUUUCUUACUUUUUUUUUUUUACUAUUCUUUUAAUCAUUUGGGUAGUACUAAAAACCCAUUUUGUGUUUUGUAAAAUAAAUAAAUAAAUGAAUGUAAUCUGAAUCUGAACAAUCAGAUUCUACUGAAAAUAAGAGGAACUAGAUGUUUAAUAGUACAGUAGGCCUGUAGAAAACGCUUUAAUUUCAAUUUGUUCAGAAGGUGAUUCUUCUCAUUUUGCCCUUUUUGAAUAUCUUUGUAUAAGCACAUCACUUUCUACAAACAUCCGUUUGUGCAUUUGCCAGACUAACUUUUUGAUUUCUUUUUGCAGUGGCGAGAAAUGUCGUGGUGGGAGUGGAUGUUGUGGAAGAAGUAGAAGUUGAAGAUGUUGUUGAAGUAAUGUUAGUACUUUCCUUGAUAUUACAUUCAAAUUUUGAUUAUUUCUUUCAGUGCAUGCUUUAAACAUCUUUUUAAUCAUCAAUAAAUUUAUAUAUUUCAAAAACACAACAUGUGAUAGAGGUUUUUCUUUUCACAGAACAGGGGAUGUGUUUGCAGAUGGUCAGAGAGAGCCAGAGUUUUUGCAAGAAGAACACCUGUUCCCCACUUGAAAAGGACAACUUCAAGUUUUUUCCACUGACAAAGCUGUUAUUUACACUUUCAGUUGUUCUCUUCGUGUAUGUUAUUUUUUUUGUCUUUAUUUAUGUAUUGAAAGUAAUUUUAGAUCAAUAAAUUUGCUGUGCUCAACAGUUUUUUUUUAAAGUGAUUUAAUAUUAAAUUUAGGUGAGACUAUGUCUGUUCUCAUCAGUCAUAAGUUCCUGCACACAGGAGGAAACAAUUUACAGACAGUAGCAUUUACGGCCCAAUAAUCUGUAUUUCUGGUUUAUGCAUGUUUGGGUUCUCACAAAACUUAGAAAAGUCCGAGCACAAAGGGGAGACUUCCUGAUUACAAUAACCUAAUUUUCUUGUUAUCAUAUUUGCUUUUCUCAGAGGAGCAGCUUUCAUCUGAAUUACUGCACUCCUGCCCUCUGCUGAUGAUGGAUAAUAAUCACAGUUUGAAGCAGUCAAUUUCAGUCCUCAUCAAGCAGAACAUCAUCUGCAUAUAAAGAAAUUUUUCGACGAAAAAUAAACACAUGCUGAAUUUGACAUAGUUUGAAAAUAAUCACUGAUUUUAGUUAAUCCUCAACAUAUUCGUUUUUCCCCUUUUUUAAUUAAAACAAGGCAACACUGUAGCAUAGCUGUGCAUAUUUAAGAUUUCAUUUUACCUAUUCCAAGUAGUUCUCAUAAUCCUUAAUCUGUUAAUGAGCCAUCAUGCAUGUGAGUGUACUGAGAAACUACAAAAGUGCAGUUAACUUACUCUAACUUAGUUCUUUUGUGCUCCAUCCUUUUUUUCUAUUUCCUCAUGUUUUAUACUUACUGUCACUGAAAAAUGUCCUAUUUAAAAGUAAAAACGUUCAGUAUUUUGACAGUUUUAGUUGUAGAGUGAAGUACAGCGUGAAAGCAGGUUUUCAUUAAUCUUUUGAUAUAUAUAAAAAGUAUUCCCAGUGAUCUUCUGAUUAUGCUGUUUUUAAGAAAGAAAACAACUAACGUCUUCAAGGUCAUAGUUUCUGAAGGGCAGCAGGAGUUCAUUAAAAGUAUGCCUCUGUGUUGUGGGCGGGACCGUUGGUGAAUCCCUUUGUUUACAAGCUCUUCUAAUAGCUUACAGUCCCUUACAACCCCAACCCAACAUUACAGGUGCAUCAAAAACGACUAGAAAUAUUAUAGCUAUCCUGCCGUACAGUUUUGAGCCAGAUUGUGGAACCUACAUCACUAAUACAAACUUUUUUCAAUGUCAUGAUUGCGUCUGCCCCAGAUUCAGAAAGAAUUGAAUAAAGAAAAAUGUAAAAACUCAAAUUUAAGCUCAAUUUUCUUAGUACAUAUCCUCCAUAGUUAGAAACAUUCACCAAAAAACAUGUUACAAACACCAAAAACAC
rnacentral:lncRNA from 1 species